rnacentral:lncRNA from 1 species
UCGUAGGUGAACAGUCUGCAUGUUGCUGACCCAGUGGAGACAGUGCUGCAGCUCCAGGACUGCAGCAUCUUCAUCAAGAUUAUUAACAGCAUCCAUGACACUAAAGAGGGGCAACAAAUCCUACAGCAGCCACUGCCGGAAAGACUAGACUUUGUUUGCAGUUUUCUACAGAAAAAUCGGAAGCAUCCUUCAUCUACACAAUGCCUGGUAUCUGUGCAGAAAGUGAUGGAGGGCUCCGAGAUGGAACUGGCCAAGAUGGUAAUGCUAUUUUUAUAUCACUCCACCAUGAGCUCCAGAAACCCCCGGGACUGGGAGCAGUUUGAAUAUGGGGUUCAGGUAGGCUU